AUCCUUUUGUAGUUCAUAGGCAUGAUGAUUGAGUGUUCAUGCUUUUGUGUGACAUGUGCAUCCCUCAAACCUUGUUAUGACAGCAACACAUUACCCAUCUGAUA